rnacentral:rRNA from 1 species
AAUGAACGCUGGCGGCGUGCCUAACACAUGCAAGUCGAACGAGAAAGCGUCCUUCGGGCGUGAGUAAAGUAGGCAGACGGGUGAGUAACGCGUGGGUAACCUACCCCCGAACUCUGGAAUAACUUCGCGAAAGCGUUGCUAAUGCCGGAUACCGUCCGGAGAACCUCGGUUUUCCGGAUGAAAGGUGACCUCUCCAUGGAAGUUGCCGUUUGGGGAUGGGCCCGCGUCCCAUUAGCUAGUUGGUAGGGUAAUGGCCUACCAAGGCUUAGAUGGGUAGCUGGUCUGAGAGGAUGAUCAGCCACACUGGCACUGAGAUACGGGCCAGACACCUACGGGUGGCAG